UACGUAGGGUGCGAGCGUUAAUCGGAAUUACUGGGCGUAAAGCGUGCGCAGGCGGUUUUGUAAGACAGGCGUGAAAUCCCCGAGCUUAACUUGGGAAUGGCGCUUGUGACUGCAAGGCUAGAGUAUGUCAGAGGGGGGUAGAAUUCCACGUGUAGCAGUGAAAUGCGUAGAGAUGUGGAGGAAUACCGAUGGCGAAGGCAGCCCCCUGGGACGUCACUGACGCUCAGGCACGAAAGCGUGGGGAGCAAACAGG
rnacentral:rRNA from 1 species